rnacentral:rRNA from 1 species
AUUGAACGCUGGCGGCAUGCCUUACACAUGCAAGUCGAACGGCAGCGGACCUUCGGGUGCCGGCGAGUGGCGAACGGGUGGGUAAUAUAUCGGAACGUACCUUUCAGUGGGGGAUAACGUAGCGAAAGUUACGCUAAUACCGCAUAUUCUGUGAGCAGGAAAGCAGGGGAUCGCAAGACCUUGCGCUGAUUGAGCGGCCGAUAUCAGAUUAGCUAGUUGGUGAGGUAAAGGCUCACCAAGGCGACGAUCUGUAGCGGGUCUGAGAGGAUGAUCCGCCACGCUGGAACUGAGACACGGUCCAGACUCCUACGGGAGGCAGCAGUGGGGAAUUUUGGACAAUGGGCGCAAGCCUGAUCCAGCCAUGCCGCGUGAGUGAAGAAGGCCUCGGUUGUAAGACUCUUCGUCCGGAGGAAAUACGCACGGGUUAAGUAACCCUCGUGUUGGAGUGACGGUACCGGAA